rnacentral:rRNA from 1 species
UCGAGGAUCUUCGGCAAUGGGCGCAAGCCUGACCGAGCGACGCCGCGUGUGCGAUGAAGGCCUUCGGGUUGUAAAGCACUGUCGAGGGGGAGUAAGACCCGCAAGGGUUUGAACUAUCCCUGGAGGAAGCACGGGCUAAGUUCGUGCCAGCAGCCGCGGUAAGACGAACCGUGCGAACGUUGUUCGGAAUCACUGGGCUUAAAGGGCGCGUAGGCGGGUGUGCAAGUCUGUGGUGAAAGCCCCCAGCUUAACUGGGGAAGUGCCGUGGAUACUGCACAUCUUGAGGAGGGUAGGGGCAUCUGGAACGGUCGGUGGAGCGGUGAAAUGCGUUGAUAUCGACCGGAACUCCGGUGGCGAAGGCGAGGUGCUGGACCCUUUCUGACGCUGAGGCGCGAAAGCCAGGGGAGCAAACGGGAUUAGAUACCCCCGUAGUCC